rnacentral:rRNA from 1 species
AUUGAACGCUGGCGGAAUGCUUUACACAUGCAAGUCGAACGGUAGAGGGGGCAACCCCUCGAGAGUGGCGAACGGGUGAGUAAUAUAUCGGAACGUGCCCAGUCGUGGGGGAUAACGUAGCGAAAGUUACGCUAAUACCGCAUACGAUCUAAGGAUGAAAGCGGGGGAUCGCAAGACCUCGCGCGAUUGGAGCGGCCGAUAUCAGAUUAGGUAGUUGGGGGGGUAAAGGCUCACCAAGCCAAAGAUCCGUAGCUGGUCUGAGAGGACGACCAGCCGCACUGGAACUGAGACACGGUCCAUACUCCUACGGGAGGCAGCAGUGGGGAAUUUUGGACAAUGGACGCAAGUCUGAUCCAGCCAUUCCGCGUGCAGGAUGAAGGCCCUCGGGUUGUAAACUGCUUUUGUACGGAACGAAAAGGUCUCUCUUAAUACGGGGGACUCAUGACGGUACCGUAAGAAUAAGCACCGGCUAACUACGUGCCAGCCGCCGCCGUAA